GCGGUGGAGCAUGUGGUUUAAUUCGAAGCAACGCGCAGAACUUACCAGCCCUUGACAUACCGGUCGCGGACACAGAGAUGUGUCUUUCAGUUCGGCUGGACCGGAUACAGGUGCUGCAUGGCUGUCGUCAGCUCGUGUCGUGAGAUGUUGGGUUAAGUCCCGCAACGAGCGCAACCCUCGCCCUUAGUUGCCAGCAUUUAGUUGGGCACUCUAAGGGGACUGCCGGUGAUAAGCCGAGAGGAAGGUGGGGAUGACGUCAAGUCCUCAUGGCCCUUACGGGCUGGGCUACACACGUGCUACAAUGGUGGUGACAGUGGGCAGCGAGCACGCGAGUGUGAGCUAAUCUCCAAAAGCCAUCUCAGUUCGGAUUGCAGUCUGCAACUCGACUGCAUGAAGUUGGAAUCGCUAGUAAUCGUGGAUCAGCCAAGCCGCGGUGAAUACGUUCCCGGGCCUU
rnacentral:rRNA from 1 species